AGCCCCCAGGACAGGUUGUUCUAUGCUCUCUUCUACUCUUAGCUCUGCUUUUCAACAGAAGUCUCACACGGAAGCCUGUCACUUGGACAUGGCUGGUCCAUAGCACCUCUCAGCUCCCUCCAUUGCCACCUCCCAUGCCUGAAAUUGUGCUAUUUAUUCUUCUCUCUGAUAAUGGACAGGUAUCAAAGCCUUCUUAGAACCUUAACUUGUUACCAUUCUAUGCCUAUUAAGGCACAAAUACCAAAACAAGUCCUGAACAUGGUUUUUUUUUUUUUUAAUCUAAUUUUAACAACAAAGGACCUGAGAUUCCUAAAAGUCUUGAGACUUGUACCAGGAUCAGUAAUCAGUGACAAUCUAGAAAAGAGAACCUCUUCCAGGUACACAUUAUUCUAUUGUUGUGACAUUCUUGACUAGAGUAGCUUUUGGGACUCAGUUCUGAGUACCACAGCUAAGAGUGACUCAUUAUGGUGAUAUCAGGUGGUAGCAGGAACACAUCGUAAUUAUAACUUUUGCCUCCGUUUAUGCAGUAUGUGGUCCAGGUGCUGUACUGUAAACUCUACAUGUAUUAUCUUAGUCCUUGCUUAACACUGUGAAGUCAGAAAACAACUCAUAGAAGUUUAGGUACCAUUAGUUAGCCUUAAUGGUAAGGCUGGUAUCUAAGCCCCACCAUCCCAACUUCACAACGCAACAAGCUUUUAAUUACUUUGCUAUGCUAGUCAGAGGAGGCAGAUACACAGCCUGUUGUUAUGUCAGGUAACAAAUAUCUGAAAUUGGUAUCAUCUUCUCCUUCCCCUGGUUCUUAUGAGAAAAGAAGCUUUUGAAGCAAGAGCUCUUGAGGCUGCUGCCCUUGCACCUCCACUGCCUUAAGGCUGCUGUCCUUGCACCUCCACUGCCUUCUGCCUUAUUGACCUACUCAGUCAGAUUCUCAUGAGAGCAGUGAAACCCUGGCCAUUUGAGGUGCACACUAAAGACAGUGUCCUGUUGGUGCAAAUACAGAGGAAACUCACCUAUCAAUCAAGAAAGUGAUGGAUGACCUUAGACACCCCCACCUGCAGUUUUGCAGAUCACUGUAUCUCAGUCCAAACUUUGGAUCUUGAAACUUCUGACUAAUGUCAUAUCUCAAGAAUUCUAUACCAAGUUUUAAAAUUUAUGUUAAAAGUUUAUUUUUGUCAAUUUUUAAAUUUAAGAGUCACUGGAAUAGGGCUUUUCUUAUGAUCUAAUGCCACAUGUAGUAUAAAUAUAAUAAUUGGCUGCUAUGCACUUGUUGAAAUAUGUCUCUAGAGUUUUACCCAUGAUAGGUGACCCUCAUCUCUAUCCAAUCUUUUUUCCAACCACGGGUGAUGGCGAUCAAGAGUGACUCUUCAGCCUUCACAGUAGUGCUGCUCACUUGUGCGCUGGGAUCUUUUUAUAUCCUCUGUAUGUUCCUAACUGCUGCUGUAACAAAUUACCACAAGCUUAAUAUGUUUACUGUUAAACAAUGAAUGGAGAUAACAAGUCUACAAUCAGGUUCUCUGAUCUGUAAUCAAGGAGUGGACAGAGCUGGCUCCUCCUGGAGACCCUAAGGACAACUUGUAUACUUGACUUAGCUUCUGAAGGCCACUCAUUUUCUUUAGCUUGUUACCCCUCUAUGCACUACUCUGAUCUCUUCUUGCAUAGUCUAAUCUUAUACCUUAGAUGCUGGUCAGUAACUCAGGGUAAUCAUCCCAUCUCAAGAAUAUUAAUGAUGGGCUAGCAAGAUGGCCCAGUGGUUCAAAGCUCUAGGUUCAAUUGCCAGCACCCAUGAGGCAUCUUACAAUCAUCUAUAACUAUAGUCCCAUUGGAUCCAAUGCACUCUUCUGGUGUGUAGACACGUAUGCAUACAUACUUAUUUACAUACAUACAUACAUACAUACAUAACACAUGCAUACAUUCAUAUAUACAUAUGUACAUAUAUGUGUACAUCUUUUCAAAAAAAGAAUUUUAAUCAGGGGCUAAGUGUGGUAGUAUAUAAUCCCAGCAGACAGGAGGCAGAAACAGGCACAUCACUUAAGUUCAAGGUUUGCCUGGUCUACAAAGUGAGACCCCAUCUC
rnacentral:lncRNA from 1 species